rnacentral:rRNA from 1 species
CAGUCGCCGCGGGAAAACGUAGGGGGCGAGCGUUGUCGAAGUUACUGGGCGUAAAGCGCGCGUAGGCGGCUUCUUAAGUCUGAGGUGAAAGGUUCAACGCUUAACGUGAACAGUGCCUUGGAUACUGGGGAGCUUGAGUAUGGGAGAGGGCAGUGGAAUGGCUGGUGUAGCGGUGAAAUGCGUAGAUAUCAGUCGGAACACCCAUGGCGAAGGCAGCUGCCUGGCCUAAUACUGACGCUGAGGCGCGAAAGCGUGGGGAGCGAACGGGAUUAGAUACCCGUGUAGUCCCUGUCUCUUAUAC